GCCGACUGAUAUGAGCUUUAUUAUCUUCUAAUUUUUUUCAUACCUUUCAUUAUAUCUGAUGGAACGUUCUGUUCUGGUUGGCAUCCUGAUGACGGGCAUCAGAUAAAAAAAUCAAACUGUACCGCAUUCCUCCCGCGGAUGUUUUUUUAAGCUGUUCUCCCUUUGCUUUUUCAGAUCUUUUACCUGCUGCAUGUUGUCAAACAGGUUCUAUUUUAAUGUGUUCUUGGUUCUACAGGUCUGGCUGUAAUCAGACCGGGUUGUGGUUUGUAAUGAAAUUGAAUAUGGCUUUUUAAGAAGUGUAGUUAAUUACAGUGAAUUCAUGGGGGUAGUUGUUUUUUUUACACAUUGUUUUUCAUUUAUUUUUACUUUAAAUGAAAUUCUAAUUUAAAAACUGAUUUUUGUAUUUGCUCAAGUUCUCUUUGUCUGAUAUUAAAGUUUGUUUAAUCUGAUAAAAAAUAAGUGAAUUCAGUGACUGUUUGCAUUGACGACUCUUCAUGUAAAAUAAAUUUUCUGAGCUAAUGAUUAGCGAUCGUCCGAUAAUCUGGAAAUGAAAGCAGAGUUAAGAAAAUUCAGAGUGGACAGUGCUGUUGAGCUGAUGCCCCGCCUACUGGUGCUGUCGCUCGGUGGCCCCGCCCCCUCCCCACACACAAUUCAACAUUACAUCCCUUACCUGCUACCUGCCUCUCACACACCUGUACCACCAAACAGGAUUGAGGACGGAUAUGCUGGUCAGGGUGUGCAACUAAAAUGAGAGGACGCACCAUGAGCUCCAGAGCACUCAUCCUCUGUGUUCUCUGGAUAGGUACCACCACAGUUGCUGCCACCAAUGCCACCGAGCUGUGUCAAGGUGUAGUAAGUGGUCCACUUGAGACUCAGCUCCAGUCUGGAAAUGUGUCUGCUGUGAUCUGCAACUUCAACAUUUCUGAACUCGCCUGUUUAUCAUCCACCAAUUUUACUAAUCUGACCUCUGGUGACCUGGCUACACUGUUGACAUGCAAACUUCCUAGCAGUGCGCUCUACACAAAAGAAAUCUGGGUGCUUUUCCUCAAGAAAUUUGCAACGUCUUUGGAUGCAGUUCUGGAUAAUUUCUCCAACGUGACCCUCAACAUCACUGGGUCUAAGUCGAAUAUCCUUGAUGCCAUCGGCGAGGUGAUGUUCAGCAACUUCAACACCACAGACCUUGCAAAUGCCUCCUUAAUUACCAAGUGGUUCCAGAGCAGGCUGAGACCAUUCUUGUCCUCAGUUUCCACAGCCUUUCUUGGUAGUCUUGGUGCCAAAAACUUCAGCUGUCAGACCUUCCAAAUUGUGAUGGAGGUCUUUAGUACACAAGAGAUGGCCAUGAUGGAGGAACAAAAAUGGUCUGUCGUCAGGAAUUUCACCUAUCCCUUCCUCCUAGCUCAACAGACACAAGGUCAGUCCUGUGUGCAGUCACUGAGCAAUGACUCUGACUGGCUGGCGAAGAACUUCGGAAAAUUCAGCAAAUUUGCCUCUUUGUCUGAUUUCAUCAGUCUGAAAAGUGACUUCAAUGGCUUGAAUGCAACAGAAGUUCUAACUCCAUCCCAGCUGGCAGAGCUUUGUUCUGAACCUUCUCGACUCCGUGGUCCUCAGGAUGUAAACCGGGUGAUGGCAGCAAUAAACCCGAAUCAGUUUGCCUCAUUCUUUAAUCAACUCUCUCCCAACAUCCAGAAAAAUGAAUCCCGGUACUCCAGUGAUUUGAAGAAAGCGUUCCUCCAGAACAUCCUGCAGAGAGGGGGACUGUCCUCUGCACCAUUAAAUGAUUCAGAAGUUCUGCAGUGGGUGAACGUUCUGCUCAGUCCCUUCCUCUCCAGCCUCUCCUCUGCAGAUGUGACGCCAUACUUCAACAUAAUAAGAAACCAGACCUGCAACACCAGCCAGAUAGCAAUCAGCAAGUUAGACUCUCUGAGAUCUGCUUUCAGCAAUGACACACAGGUUCAGAUCCGCAACAACAUUCAGCAGCUCUUUGCUGAACCGAAUGGUCUGCGUUGCUAUAGUGGCGGGAGCUUCUUUGUCUUCCUCAAGAGCUUCUUCCUCAGUUUUGGGUUUCCUGACCUGAGUGGAGUUCUGUCCAUCAUCCCG
ensembl:lncRNA